CCUGGUGUCAGCCGCCGCGGUAAUACCAGCUCUCCGAGUGGUGGGGAUGCUUAUUGGGCCUAAAGCAUUCGUAGCCGGUUGGGCAAGUCCUCCGUUAAAUCCAGCGAUUCAAUCGUUGGACUGCAGGGGAUACUGUCCGGCUAGGGGACGGGAGAGGCCGACGGUAUUUCCGGAGUAGGGGUGAAAUCCUAUAAUCCCGGGAGGACCACCAGUGGCGAAGGCUGUCGGCUAGAACGCGCCCGACGGUGAGGGAUGAAAGCUGGGGGAGCGAACCGGAUUAGAUACCCGGGUAGUCCCAGCUGUAAACGAUGCAGGCUAGGUGUUGGCGCGGCUACGUGCCGCUCCAGUGCCGCAAGGAAGCCGUUAA
rnacentral:rRNA from 1 species